rnacentral:rRNA from 1 species
GUGGGUGGCAGGCGUUGUCCGGAAUUAUUGGGCGUAAAGCGCGCGCAGGCGGUUCUUUAAGUCUGAUGUGAAAGCCCACGGCUCAACCGUGGAGGGUCAUUGGAAACUGGAGAACUUGAGUACAGAAGAGGAAAGCGGAAUUCCACGUGUAGCGGUGAAAUGCGUAGAGAUGUGGAGGAACACCAGUGGCGAAGGCGGCUUUCUGGUCUGUAACUGACGCUGAGGCGCGAAAGCGUGGGGGGAGCAAACAGGAUUAGAUACCCUGGUAGUCCACGCCGUAAACGAUGAGUGCUAAGUGUUAGGGGGUUUCCGCCCCUUAGUGCUGCAGCUAACGCAUUAAGCACUCCGCCCUGGGAGUACGGCCGCAAGGCUG